AGCUCCAAUAGCGUAUAUUAAAGUUGUUGCAGUUAAAAAGCUCGUAGUUGGAUUUGUGGCUGUCCCGAGCGGCCUAACACUUAGUGUUAGUGUCAGCUUGGGUCGCCAUCCUUGGGUGGAACCUAUGUGGCAUUAGGUUGUCGUGUAGGGGAUGCCCAUCGUUUACUGUGAAAAAAUUAGAGUGUUCAAAGCAGGCUUAUGCCGUUGAAUAUAUUAGCAUGGAAUAAUAAGAUAGGACCUUGGUACUAUUUUGUUGGUUUGCGCACCAAGGUAAUGAUUAAUAGGGACAGUUGGGGGUAUUCGUAUUCCAUUGUCAGAGGUGAAAUUCUUGGAUUUUUGGAAGACGAACUACUGCGAAAGCAUUUACCAAGGAUGUUUUCAUUAAUCAAGAACGAAAGUA
rnacentral:rRNA from 1 species